UCCGUUAUGGUGUAGUGGCUAACAUUAUCGCCUCUCAUCUAUGUAUAAUGAAUCGCGAUAGCCCAGGGUUCGAUUCCCUGUAACGGAA